CCUACGGGGGGCUGCAGUGGGGAAUUUUCCGCAAUGGGCGCAAGCCUGACGGAGCAAUACCGCGUGCGGGAGGAAGGCUUUUGGGUCGUAAACCGCUUUUAUUGGGGAAGAAGAACUGACGGUACCCAAUGAAUCAGCAUCGGCUAACUCCGUGCCAGCAGCCGCGGUAAUACGGGGGAUGCAAGCGUUAUCCGGAAUUAUUGGGCGUAAAGCGUCCGCAGGUGGCGAUUCAAGUCUGCUGUUAAAGCGUAGAGCUUAACUCUAUAUCGGCAGUG
rnacentral:rRNA from 1 species